rnacentral:lncRNA from 1 species
CGAGGGUAGGAGAUUUGCAUGAGACCCAAACAUUGCAAAAAAAAAACAAAGGCUUUGGGCCCCAAUUAAAGCUAUUAAAAAAAUAAAAAUAAAAACGAAAAAAUUGAACAGAUAGGUUAUCAGCCCAAAGGACAAAUUUGCAAUUAUCACAAAGUUGAGGGGCAUGUGUGAUAUUAUCAAAACUUGAGGGAUAUUCUUCACAUUUUGAGAAAGUUCAAGAGUAUGUGUGAUAUUUGUCCAACAAUAUAUGUUGAGUGAGUGGAAGUAAAAAUGGCAG